AGUUACAAUGUACUGCAAUCACUGUGUGAAAAUGUUCCCAACACUGCACACUUUUCCACAAAUUGUGGCAAGUCACUCAGUCACAUCAUCAUCAGUUUUCAGACAAUACGUUUAAAGUGCUUUGAGCAGUAUUGCAGUAAUGCAGGCAUAUCCACCUGUACUCAGCGAAGCAGUUUUUUGGCUAAUAUCUCUGAAGUUCAGCAUUUAGAGCAAAUUUGACACUAUGUCAACCAGAAGAACUUUGAACACAUUUAAUGAAUAGUUUCUUUGGAGAUUUUAACAGUAAUUGUUAAGACUUGAAACCAGACAGAAUGAAACUGUGAGAACAUGUACAGUGUACAUCAAUGUACAUGUAGCUUCAAUAUGAAUCAAUUGAUACACUAUCAAAAUUAUGUCAACCUGAUCAUUGGAAGUUUGCCAAGUUACAUGAGAAGCAUUGAAAGCCUGCAAAGAUUCUACAUGUUUACACAAAUGGAAUAGACUCACACUUUAAAAUAACUUUCAGACAAGACUAAUGUACUCUCAAAAAGGAUGAUUCAUGUAUCAAUGAGUGAAUUGGAGUGCAUUCUAGCUGCACAUGAAAAUUUGUGUGCAUUUUUAAAUAUUUAUUUCCAUUUUAUUAACUGUAUUUUUGUGACAAAAAUGUCGGUUAUUGAUUUGGGGAUGUACGGCGGCCGGGCGGUCGGUCAGGCUGGCGGCAAUCAAAUGUUGUCCGUGCAUUAACUCAUGAACCGUUCAACCAAAGCUUUUAAAAUUUUAAUAUGUUGUUACUGACAACAAAAUGAAGGUCAAGUUCAAUAAUGGCGAUUUUGACUUUUACCGUUCAGGAGUUAUAAUGGUUCUUGAAAGAUUGAAAAAUGGAGUUUCCAGUCGUGUCCGUGCAUUUACUUAUGAACUGUUCUACCAAAGCUUCCCAAAUUUUAAUAUGUUGUUACUGAUGACAAAGUGGAGGUCAAGUUCAAUAAUGACGAUUUUGACUUUUACCGUUCAGGAGUUAUAUAUGGUUCUUGAAAGAUUGAAAAAUGGAGUUUCCAGUCGUGUCCGUGCAUUUACUCAUGAACUGUUCUACCAAAGCUUCCCAAAUUUUAAUAUGUUGUUACUGAUGACAAAACAGAGGUCAAGUUCAAUAAUGAGGAAUUUUUUUUUAACUUUUACCGUUCAGGAGUUAUUGGUCUUGAAAGAUUGUAAAACAGCGUUUCCAUUCACGUUGUUGCAUUUACUCAUGAACCAUUCAAUCUAAGCUUUUCAAAUUUUAAUAUGUUGAUACUGAUGACAAAAUGGAGGUCAAAUUUGAUAUUGACGAUUUUCACUUUCACCAUUCUUCAGUAAUGGUUCUUGUGAUAUUGCCAGGAAACAAAUAAAUAUAAAUAAUCCGGUUUGCUGUCUUUGUGACAGCCUCUUGUUGAGUGUUUUUAAAAAAUUGUGUGUCUUCAUAACAUUAUAUCAUGAACAUAUUGUUGUUAAUAAUUAAAACAGAAAUAAAGAAUAAAAUUUUCUCAGUUUUUGCCAAGUAGUAUGGAAAUAAUAUAGUUCAACUCUGAUUUAACUUUUUCCAAAUAUAUAAGCAUAUGAAUAACUGGAGAUGUGGGGUAUAGGUCCAUUGGACAGCAUCCCAACAACACAAAACACAAGCAUGA